rnacentral:tRNA from 1 species
GGAGGAGUGGCCGAGUGGACGAAGGCGACGGUCUUGAAAACCGUAGAGCGAAAGCUCCGUGGGUUCGAAUCCUACCUCCUCCGCCA